GCAGCAGCCGCGGGAAUACGAAGGGUGCAAGCGUUACUCGGAAUUACUGGGCGUAAAGCGUGCGUAGGUGGUGGUUUAAGUCCGUUGUGAAAGCCCUGGGCUCAACCUGGGAAUUGCAGUGGAUACUGGGUCACUAGAGUGUGGUAGAGGAUAGUAGAAUUUCCGGUGUAGCAGUGAAAUGCGUAGAGAUCGGAAGGAACAUCUGUGGCGAAGGCGACUAUCUGGGCCAACACUGACACUGAGGCACGAAAGCGUGGGGAGCAAACAGGAUUAGAUACCCCCGUAGUCCCUGUCUCUUAUAC
rnacentral:rRNA from 1 species